GCGGAUGUGGCGAAAUUGGUAGACGCACUAGACUUAGGAUCUAGCGCCGCGAGGCAUGGGGGUUCGAGUCCCUUCAUCCGCA
rnacentral:tRNA from 2 species